GUUUAUUUUAAAACACCAAGGAAACUGUCGGAACAUUUUAGACGCAGAUUUCAUAAGUAAAGAGGGAAUAAUAAAGUUUAAAAGUGACACGAAUUUUAUAGAAACUCAUGCGUGAAGAAACAACCGGCUAGGGGGCUUAAUCUCGACCAGCGAGAACAUCGGUUUAAAAUAAAUUUUCUCCCUUCAAACUCUCACACAGUUAUUAGAUAAUAGUAUACAUUAUAGUUACUGUUUAAAAUCAUUCCUAAUAUGUUGGCCGCACUGGCACGUACAGGUUUCA
rnacentral:lncRNA from 1 species